AGGAAAAGAAACCAACAGGGAUUGCCCUAGUAACGGCGAGUGAAGCGGCAAGAGCUCAAAUUUGAAAUCUGGCUCCUCCGGGGUCCGAGUUGUAAUUUGCAGAGGAUGCUUCGGGUGCGGUCCCCGUCUAAGUACCCUGGAAUGGGUCGUCAUAGAGGGUGAGAAUCCCGUCUGGGACGGGUGGCCGUGUCCGUGUGAAGCUCCUUCGACGAGUCGAGUUGUUUGGGAAUGCAGCUCUAAAUGGGUGGUAAAUUUCAUCUAAAGCUAAAUAUUGGCCGGAGACCGAUAGCGCACAAGUAGAGUGAUCGAAAGAUGAAAAGCACUUUGAAAAGAGAGUUAAACAGCACGUGAAAUUGUUGAAAGGGAAGCGCUUGCGACCAGACUCGCCCGCGGGGGUUCAGCCGGUACUCGUACCGGUGUACUCCCCCGUGGGCGGGCCAGCGUCGGUUUGGGCGGCCGGUCAAAGGCCUCCGGAAUGUAUCGCCCUUCGGGGCGUCUUAUAGCCGGGGGUGCAAUGCGGCCAGCCUGGACCGAGGAACGCGCUUCG
rnacentral:rRNA from 1 species